CUUGGCAGAGAGCGCCCUGGGAAAUGCGGAUAUAGAAGGUCAGGAGAACAUCUCUCCUGGUUAUACAGCAUUCCAGGUGGGCUUUCAUGUGGUUGAGGAUAAUAUCAUUAGCACCAAAGGUGAAAAUCCGUGGAAGCUCAUCUUAUUUCAGCAGAAGAGUAGGAUGGGCCUUGUGGCACGAGUAAGCCAAACAAGGGAAAGGCAUUCACCAUCAAUUGACUCCUCAUCUGUUUUUAAGAGGGAAAUCUGAGUUUUCAAGGAAAGCCGAAUACAGUUGCCAAGUUGCCAGUCAAAGAAACAAUGUCAACACCUGCUCAUAGAGAUGGAAUUCCUAACCCGGAAUAUUGCCCUUGAAUUACAACGAGAAAAAGCACCUCUUCAAGUGAGAUGGCAGACCACCUCAGGAUGGAAAUGUAUUUCUUCAUCCCCCUCUCUACUUCCCUGUGACCUCCUGCAAAUAAGGGAGAGACAAAGAGAAGAGCAGAAGAACAGAAGAAUGGAGUGGCAAAGAGAAGAGAAGGAGUGACUGAACAUUGACAAGACUUUGGUUGGGGAUGGUCAGAGAGGAGAUUAGCUGCUAGACGGCCACACUGCGGAGAAAGAUCAUUUUCCCACUCCAUCCCCCUUCCAGCUCCCCAUCCAUCUCACCAAGAGCCAGCUCCACCACUCAAUAAAACCUUACAUUCAUCUUUC